UACGUAGGGGGCGAGCGUUGUCCGGAUUUAUUGGGCGUAAAGAGCGUGUAGGCGGCCAGGUAGGUCUGCUGUGAAAACUCGAGGCUCAACCUCGAGACGUCGGCGGAAACCAUCUGGCUAGAGUCCGGAAGAGGAGAGUGGAAUUCCUGGUGUAGCGGUGAAAUGCGCAGAUAUCAGGAGGAACACCAAUGGCGAAGGCAGCACUCUGGGACGUGACUGACGCUGAGACGCGAAAGCCAGGGGAGCAAACGGG
rnacentral:rRNA from 1 species